rnacentral:rRNA from 1 species
GAGUCCAACUGACGCUAAUGCUCGAAGGUGCGGGUAUCGAACAGGAUUAGAUACCCUGGUAGUCCGCACGGUAAACGAUGGAUGCCCGCUGUCGGCUUUAUAAAGCCGGCGGCCAAGCGAAAGCGUUAAGCAUCCCACCUGGGGAGUACGCCGGCAACGGUGAAACUCAAAGGAAUUGACGGGGGCCCGCACAAGCGGAGGAACAUGUGGUUUAAUUCGAUGAUACGCGAGGAACCUUACCCGGGCUUGAACUGCAGCGGAACGCAUGAGAGAUCAUGCGGUCCUUCGGGACUGCUGUGGAGGUGCUGCAUGGUUGUCGUCAGCUCGUGCCGUGAGGUGUCGGCUUAAGUGCCAUAACGAGCGCAACCCCUUUCGUCAGUUGCCAUCAGGUGAUGCUGGGCACUCUGGCGACACUGCCACCGCAAGGUGCGAGGAAGGUGGGGAUGACGUCAAAUCAGCACGGCCCUUACGUCCGGGGCUACACACGUGUUACAAUGGGGCAUACAGAAGGCCGGUUUUCCGCAAGGGAGAUCCAAUCUAAAAAGUGUCCCUCAGUUCGGAUUGGGGUCUGCAACCCGACCCCAUGAAGCUGGAUUCGCUA